CCUGGGCAACAGAGCGAGACUCCGUCUCAAAAAAAAACAAAAACAAAAACCAAAAAAAAAACCCAAAAGUGCCGAUAAAGGCAUGCUAUGGGUGAUCGGGCCACGCUUCCACUCAAAUGGAGUGGGCAAGUUCCCAAGACCGGUCCUACUGUAUUCCAGAUAUCCAGACUCCAAGAGCCGGUUCCUUCCCGGUGUUCAACCAGUGUGUUGAUUCUCCGCGGGGGCCUGCAGUGCACUGCUCUGACGAGGCAUUCCACCAGGGCAAAUGCCUGCCCAGGAGCAUGCUCAGGAUCCACAUAGCUCAAGCUGGCCGGAGUCCCCUGCAGGGAUGCUCCACAGGACAGGCCUAAGCCGCCUAAGGGGCUGCCUUACUGCCCGGUCAGGGAACCAAGAAAUGUAGCAGGAUGAGCCACAGACAAAAGUCUUCAGGCACCAGGUUAAAGAAGGAAGAGGCUUUAUUCAGCCAGGAGGUCGACAGUCUUGCGUCUCAAGAACAGAACUGAGCUCUCCAAAGACUUCAUUCAGCCAGGAGCAUCGAUAGACUUGCAUCUCAAGAACAGAACCGAGCUCUCCAAAGACUUCAUUCGGCCAGGAGCGUCGAUAGACUUGCGUCUCAAGAACAGAACCGAGCUCCCUGAAGAAAGAGUUCCUGGCCCUUUUAAGGGCUUACAACUCUAAGGCAUCCACGUGACAGGGUCGUGAUAGGCUGAGCAAGCUUGGGGUACAUGACCAGGCAAGGACGUGUCAACGUAGAGACCUAGGAGGACAAAGUGAACUUCCUGAGCCCCAACAGGCAGGAGUCCUGCCAAAGCCAAAAUGUAUCACCUUGGAAGAUGAUGCCCCAGGAAGAAUGGGGAGGAGGGAGGAGGAAAAACCGCUGAUGAGGCUGACUCGCUCUUUAGGGCCCGUCGUAUCAGCAAAGCCAGCUCUUUUGAGAUGGAAGAACAAAGAUGUUUCUCCUCUGUGAGGAGGUGAUAAUGGUGUUCUGGGUGAAGUAGAGCAGCUUUGUCCUGGAAGGAAUCUGACUUGGAAGGAGGCCCAGUUGUCCAGCAGGCGCCUGCUCCCUUUCUGCUCUGGCUUCCAAAGGGCUCUCUGCAGAGCUCCUUCCCAGAGCUGCUGGCAGGAGGUCCUUGCUGGGGGGCAAUCCAUGGGGACGUCUGGAGCAGUGGGAGCCUAUGUUGGGACCCGGACGGCAGCUGCUCCACCUCAGCACCCGGACUAUGAGGCACAAGGCUGGGCACCACGAGGCCGUGAGUGAAAGCAGCCUGGAUUUGGAUUUCAGAAGAACUGGGCUUGAGUCCUAGUUCUGCCACAAACCAUGUGACUCUUAGGCAGUCACUUUAUGUUUUUAUUUCCUUGGCAGUAAAACUGUCCUUACCUACAAUAUGGGAAUUGUAAGGAACUACUGAGAAAACAAAUCUCAAAAUGUUCUGUGCAGACUCUCAAAUACUGUGCAAAUAUUAAACUGUUGUAAAAU